rnacentral:rRNA from 1 species
GACGAACGCUGGCGGCGUGCUUAACACAUGCAAGUCGAACGGAAAGGCCCUGCUUUUGUGGGGUGCUCGAGUGGCGAACGGGUGAGUAACACGUGAGUAACCUGCCCUUGCCUUUGGGAUAACUUCAGGAAACUGGGGCUAAUACCGGAUAGGAGCUCCUGCUGCAUGGUGGGGGUUGGAAAGUUUCGGCGGUUGGGGAUGGACUCGCGGCUUAUCAGCUUGUUGGUGGGGUAGUGGCUUACCAAGGCUUUGACGGGUAGCCGGCCUGAGAGGGUGACCGGCCACAUUGGGACUGAGAUACGGCCCAGACUACAACGGGACGCAGCAGUGGGGAAUAUUGCACAAUGGGCGGAAGCCUGAUGCAGCAACGCCGCGUGCGGGAUGACGGCCUUCGGGUUGUAAACCGCUUUCGCCUGUGACGAAGCGUGAGUGACGGUAAUGGGUAAAGAAGCACCGGCUAACUACGUG